ensembl:snoRNA
GAACUGGUCAACUAAUCUGCUUACCUCAAUGUGUUUCUCCAGAAAUUUAGAAAAAGCUGGCAAUAGUGAUGCCACGUUAUGAGGCUUAAAGACAACUGAGGUCACUAAGGUCUCUGAAAAUGGCCACAAUA